UACGAAGGGGGCUAGCGUUGUUCGGAAUUACUGGGCGUAAAGCGCACGUAGGCGGAUUUGUAAGUCAGGGGUGAAAUCCCGGGGCUCAACCUCGGAACUGCCUUUGAUACUGCAAGUCUCGAGUCCGAUAGAGGUGAGUGGAAUUCCUAGUGUAGAGGUGAAAUUCGUAGAUAUCAAGUGGAACACCGGUGGCGAAGGCGGCCUUCUGGACAGUGACUGACGCUGAGACGCGAAAGCGUGGGGAGCAAACAGG
rnacentral:rRNA from 1 species